AAGCACUAGGGGGAGCCGAAGCUCCCCCUUUAAAUGAUGUCGCGUGCUUUGUUGUUAUUAGUAUUUCGGGCGUGUUGUUUUUGUUUGAUCACCCGUUCCCUUCAGCUAUCGCGUCCAGGAGUCGCUCCUACGUUGGGAGCAAAGAGCAAACGGAUUUCUUUGGUCGCUGAUUUACCAUCGAUCAUUCGAUCCAACCAGUUCAGGCGCUGCUUAUGCAGUU
rnacentral:misc_RNA from 1 species